AGUGAACGCUGGCGGCAGGCCUAACACAUGCAAGUCGAACGGCAGCACAAGAGAGCUUGCUCUCUGGGUGGCGAGUGGCGGACGGGUGAGGAAUGCAUCGGAAUCUGCCCAUUUGUGGGGGGUAACCUCGGGAAACCGGGACUAAUACCGCAUACGACCUACGGGUGAAAGCAGGGGAUCUUCGGACCUUGCGCAGAUGGAUGAGCCGAUGGCGGAUUAGCUAGUUGGAGGGGUAAAGGCCCACCAAGGCGACGAUCCGUAGCUGGUCUGAGAGGAUGAUCAGCCACACUGGGACUGAGACACGGCCCAGACUCCUACGGGAGGCAGCAGUGGGGAAUAUUGGACAAUGGGCGCAAGCCUGAUCCAGCCAUGCCGCGUGUGUGAAGAAGGCCUUCGGGUUGUAAAGCACUUUUGUUGGGAAAGAAAAGCAGCCGGUUAAUACCCGGUUGUCAUGACGGUACCCAAAGAAUAAGCACCGGCUAACUUCGUG
rnacentral:rRNA from 1 species